rnacentral:rRNA from 1 species
GAGUUUGAUCCUGGCUCAGGACGAACGCUGGCGGCGUGCCUAAUACAUGCAAGUCGAGCGGACCGAAUGAG